UCCGUAGGUGAACCUGCGGAAGGAUCAUUACUGAGUGCGGGCUGCCUCCGGGCGCCCAACCUCCCACCCGUGAAUACCUAACACUGUUGCUUCGGCGGGGAACCCCCUCGGGGGCGAGCCGCCGGGGACUACUGAACUUCAUGCCUGAGAGUGAUGCAGUCUGAGUCUGAAUAUAAAAUCAGUCAAAACUUUCAACAAUGGAUCUCUUGGUUCCGGCAUCGAUGAAGAACGCAGCGAACUGCGAUAAGUAAUGUGAAUUGCAGAAUUCAGUGAAUCAUCGAGUCUUUGAACGCACAUUGCGCCCCCUGGCAUUCCGGGGGGCAUGCCUGUCCGAGCGUCAUUGCUGCCCAUCAAGCCCGGCUUGUGUGUUGGGUCGUCGUCCCCCCCGGGGGACGGGCCCGAAAGGCAGCGGCGGCACCGUGUCCGGUCCUCGAGCGUAUGGGGCUUCGUCACCCGCUCGACUAGGGCCGGCCGGGCGCCAGCCGACGUCUCCAACCAUUUUUCUUCAGGUUGACCUCGGAUCAGGUAGGGAUACCCGCUGAACUUAAGCAUAUCAAUAAGCGGAGGAAAAGAAACUAACAAGGAUUCCCCUAGUAACUGCGAGUGAAGCGGGAAAAGCUCAAAUUUAAAAUCUGGCAGUCUCUGAUUGUCCGAGUUGUAAUCUAGAGAAGCAUUAUCCGCGCUGGACCGUGUACAAGUCUCCUGGAAUGGAGCGUCAUAGAGGGUGAGAAUCCCGUCUUUGACACGGACUGCCAGGGCUUUGUGAUGUGCUCUCAAAGAGUCGAGUUGUUUGGGAAUGCAGCUCAAAAUGGGUGGUAAAUUCCAUCUAAAGCUAAAUAUUGGCGAGAGGCCGAUAGCGAACAAGUACCGUGAGGGAAAGAUGAAAAGAACUUUGGAAAGAGAGUUAAACAGUACGUGAAAUUGCUGAAAGGGAAACGCUUGAAGU
rnacentral:rRNA from 1 species